rnacentral:snoRNA from 1 species
GUGACGAGGCGAUGGCUGGCGCUUUACGUGGCGUCAAGCUCGGCGGGUGCCGA